UGAGGAAUAUUGGACAAUGGGCGAAAGCCCGAUCUAGCAAUACCGCGUGAGUGAAGAAGGCCUUAGGGUUGUAAAGCUCUUUCAGCAGGGAAAAUAAUGAUGGUACCUGCAAAAGAAGUCCCGGCUAACUCC
rnacentral:rRNA from 1 species